GUGUCAGCAGCCGCGGUAAGACGGAGGGGGCUAGCGUUGUCCGGAUUUAUUGGGCGUGAAGAGCGCGUAGGCGGUUCGUUAAGUCGGCUGUGAAAUCGCUGGGCUCAACUCAGCAACUGCAGUCGAUACUGGCGGGCUCGAGUUCGGGAGAGGGAAGUGGAAUUGCUGGUGUAGCGGUGGAAUGCGUAGAGAUCAGCAAGAACACCGGUGGCGAAGGCGGCUUCCUGGACCGAUACUUACGCUGAGGCGCGAAAGCUAGGGGAGCGAACGGGAUUAGAUACCCCGGUAGUCCUAGCCGUAAACGAUGGUCACUAGGUGUUGGGGGUAUCGACCCCCCCAGUGCCGCAGCUAACGCAUUAAGUGACCCGCCUGGGGAGUACGGCCGCAAGGCUGAAACUCAAAUGAAUUGACGGGG
rnacentral:rRNA from 1 species